GCCGGGCUGGCGCAAUGGUAGCGCGUCAGACUUCUAAUCUGAAGGUUGCGGGUUCGAUCCCCGCGUUCGGUU
rfam:Pyronema omphalodes CBS 100304, CBS100304, WGS project CATG01000000 data, contig: Pcon_v1_contig147